rnacentral:rRNA from 7 species
CCCGUAAUCCGGGUUGCGGACAGUGUCUGGUGGGUAGUUUGACUGGGGCGGUCUCCUCCUAAAGAGUAACGGAGGAGCACGAAGGUUGGCUAAUCCUGGUCGGACAUCAGGAGGUUAGUGCAAUGGCAUAAGCCAGCUUGACUGCGAGCGUGACGGCGCGAGCAGGUGCGAAAGCAGGUCAUAGUGAUCCGGUGGUUCUGAAUGGAAGGGCCAUCGCUCAACGGAUAAAAGGUACUCCGGGGAUAACAGGCUGAUACCGCCCAAGAGUUCAUAUCGACGGCGGUGUUUGGCACCUCGAUGUCGGCUCAUCACAUCCUGGGGCUGAAGUAGGUCCCAAGGGUAUGGCUGUUCGCCAUUUAAAGUGGUACGCGAGCUGGGUUUAGAACGUCGUGAGACAGUUCGGUCCCUAUCUGCCGUGGGCGCUGGAGAACUGAGGGGGGCUGCUCCUAGUACGAGAGGACCGGAGUGGACGCAUCACUGGUGUUCGGGUUGUCAUGCCAAUGGCACUGCCCGGUAGCUAAAUGCGGAAGAGAUAAGUGCUGAAAGCAUCUAAGCACGAAACUUGCCCCGA